CGCUCCACUGCGCAUGGCCCAUUAUUGCGCGGUACAUUCAAACACUCAGACGUGCUACUGGCAGACAGCGAUCAGUGACGGGACUGCUGUUGGAAUCCUCACAUCCCGACUCCUUUUGUCUCUAUCGUUUGGUGCAUUUUCCUAUUGUUUUGCCAGGAAUGGAAGUGGUAGUCGUUAAAGAAAAGCUUCGGUUUUAUUUGUGUCCUGGAUUUGUUGUCUCAUCCGUGUUUUCAUUUAUGUUUUAAUAAAAUUAUAAAUAAAAUUA